GACGAACGCUGGCGGCGUGCCUAAUACAUGCGAGUAGAACGCACAGUUUAUACCGUAGCUUGCUACACCAUAGACUGUGAGUUGCGAACGGGUGAGUAACGCGUAGGUAACCUGCCUGGUAGCGGGGGAUAACUAUUGGAAACGAUAGCUAAUACCGCAUAAUAUUAAUUAUUGCAUGAUAAUUAAUUGAAAGGUGCAAUUGCACCACUACCAGAUGGACCUGCGUUGUAUUAGCUAGUAGGUGAGGUAACGGCUCACCUAGGCGACGAUACAUAGCCGACCUGAGAGGGUGAUCGGCCACACUGGGACUGAGACACGGCCCAGACUCCUACGGGAGGCAGCAGUAGGGAAUCUUCGGCAAUGGACGAAAGUCUGACCGAGCAACGCCGCGUGAGUGAAGAAGGUUUUCGGAUCGUAAAGCUCUGUUGUAAGAGAAGAACGGGUGUGAGAGUGGAAAGUUCACACUGUGACGGUAUCUUACCAGAAAGGGACGGCUAACUACGUG
rnacentral:rRNA from 1 species